CUAUGGGGAAGAUAUUCAAAGUCAAGAUGUAGCCCAUUAGACUCUCUGGGGAGCUUUUAAAAAUACCAAAUGCCUGGGCCAUACCUAAAGAGAUUCAUUUAGUUGGGCCAAGCUGGGGACUGGAGACAGACAAGGAGAUUUUAGAAGCCUCCUUUGUGAUUCUAAUGAAUAUCUGGACAGAGAAGCAGACAAGUGCAUGCUUUUCCAGCAUUUCCUGGGCCCCCUGUUUUGAAUCCAAGCCACAGAUCUUUCAACAUACUCGCUGCUGGGCCUCCUUGUUCUCCCCUUGGUGUGACCGAGGGGUCAGAUGACCACGUAUGUGCCUCUAGGAGAAGCCGCCACCUGUUGUGGUAAAUUUGGUGUGAUUUCAUCAUCUCUCUGCCCUAUGUAUUUUCAGUAUCUUAUAACUACAUCUGUACGGAUGAUCUGUUGUUUUCCACCUUGAAGCAGCCUGUGCAGUCACGGGGGCAUGAGCUGCGGUGUUGCUGGGCUUCUGCCCUGUAAAUACGGCUGGUUCUCAUUUCUGGACCAGCAUCUGAUAGUCAUGACCCCAGAGGAGACCAGUGAAUCAUCCAGUCAUGGGGUUUGGAGAUGAUUCAGCAAGAUCCAAGUGGUGUCAGGAGUGCUUUUGGCUGAAGUUCUCAAAGAAUAAAAGCCUUGUGGGAACAAGAACAUGGAGCCCAGGACCUGCCCAAAGGUGAAGUGCAGCCAGCAAAUUUCUUGGGGACUUUUCUGUAUUUAAUAGUCUAUUUGGAAUCAGCCAUGCAUUUCCCUCCACUGAGAUGAACCAGUUCUGGCCAGGCUUUGUAUGCCAUCCUGAUGGAACCUUACUUUGGGGACUGGCUGCUGGCACCCCUGAGCUGGCUUCUGUUCUCCUGGCUCCAUCAGCAAGCUCAGUCCCAGCUUCCCCUUUCACUGCCCUUUGCCUGCCACUUCCCAACCUCUGUUUAUUAUGUCCUCACCAGUGUUGUGGAUCUAGUGACUUAAUGUAGUUGAUAUUAUUUACAUGUCCCAUGGAAGAUGCCAAGCUGAUGUUGCCAGCAAAUCUCAUGUCCCUGCUCCCCAGCUGGCCGAGGUAGAGGGGCCUUUGGAAGGCAGGUGACCUGAGCUCUACCUCUCGGAAAGGGGCUGUUGAAACUCCUUUACUCUUGGAACUUGCAUUUGAAGCCUGUUUGGCUGAGUGUCAUCCCUUUCCCCCAUCCUCUAUGGGCUGAAAUCUGUCAGUCUUCUUGGGCUGCAUAUGCAAUAUGACCUCUAGUGAAAUCAAACAUCUGGGCCUGUUUCUAAUUGGACUAAUUGGAACAGAUUGGUAGAGCUGCAGAGAGACCUGUUGCUCCUCUCUGGGCUCUUGGCGCCAGACAGAAGAAGCAACCAAUCAGUAAUUCAGGCAAUUUAAGGCUCAUUUUGCUUGCUAGCCAAAUCUCCACUCUUCCCCCAACCCCCCACCAUUUAUUUCAUAAUGUGAUUUUCAUGACUCAGGUCCAUGUGUCUUGUUUUGGAAAAUACAAGUAACGGCUGUAAACAUAGCAUUGCCUCCCCCUGCUUUGGGUACCCUGAGAUUUAGAAUGCCCAUGGUGACUUAUCAAUUAGUCCUUCAUUUGACAACAUGUUGAAGGGUCAUUUGUAACCAAUCUUUAUUGAGCACCUACCAUGUGUCAGCCACUGUUCUGCUCACUAGGGAUACGGGGGAAGGCAGACAGAUAAGCAGAGCAAAUAAAUCAAUAGAGAUGCGAUGACCUAAGAUGAUAAGCACUAUAAGGGUGGCAGUAUGACCGAGAUGGGAUUGGAGGGAAAGGCUGCUUCAUAUCCAGGGAAGGCAAGGGGUCAGGGAUGUGGCACAUACCCUGUGUGUGGGGCUGGAAGACUGAGUAAGAUGUGGCUCCUGGUCGCACAGAGCUCCCGGUCUGGUUGGGGGAUGGGUAAAGAGGACAGUGAGGAAUAAUGUAUUAUGUGCUAUGAUGGAGUUGGAUAAAAGGGAGAGUGUAGUGGGAGUGACUAGCAAUAGGUCUCACUGCAGCUCUACUAAUCUAGUCCAAUUAGUUCAUGAGAGCAAGGAAAAGUGGAAAUCAAGGGAUCAAGUUGGGGGAGGAUUUGUUAUGUGUUCAUCCAUUCAGCCACAUUUCACUGAAUGAGCAUCUGCUGUGCUCCGGGCAUUGUUCGGGGUGCUGCGGUUCCGUGGUGAGCAACAGAGGAGCAGCCUCUGACUGCCUGGAGUUCACAUGCUGAUGUUGGGGUGGGGUAGGCCAAGAACACGCAAACAAGUAGGACACUUGGGGAUGGGAUGAGCACUGUGAGGACCACACAGGAUGAUGUUAAAGGAAGAGCUUGGUGUAUUCUGAGGGCUGUGCUGGGGAUGGGACUUGACAGAGUGGCCCAUGGAAGCUUCUGGUGCCGAGAUUGGGUCCCGGGGCUUUCUGGGAGGAGGGGGACUUCCAGGCAGUUGGAGCUACCAGGUAGAAGUCCUGAGGCAGGAAUCAGCAUGACCAGUGUGAGGAACAGGAAAAAGCCCAGUGUGGCCACGGCCUGGUAAAUAAGGGAGAAGGAUUCAGAGAUGAAGCAGGCAGAAUGCAAGAAACCGAGCUGUGAAGCUGUCGUAGGGGUCCAGGCUGGAGAGGACAGAGGCCUGACCUGGAGUGAUGGCGCUGGAGAUGGCGCAACAUGGAAAAAUCAAAGAUACAUGGACGAAUAGAACUAAGAGGACUUCUGAUACGUGGUCUUUGCAGAUGGAGCAUUGGAAGGAAUCAAUGCUAACGGUGGCUUGAGCAAAUGAGUGGUUGGGGGGUGGUUACUGAGAUGGGAAAGACUAAGAAAAGAACUGGUUUGUGGGGGAAAUCACGAUUUUUCUUUGGAUGCAUUUAGUAUGAGAUGCUAAUUGGACAUCCCCAUGGAGAGGAAGCAGUCCUGACGAAGACUUGAGGUAUGAGGGUGGCAAGCCCUUCCCUGGAGGCCAGGUGCCUGGGGAUAGCGUGGGAGAGAGCUGCAGUUAGGACAGGCAAUGCCGGGGGUGAUGGGGAAUAGCCCAGAAGUGGGACGUGACAGGAGGCGGGGAGACUACCCUGGUCUGCCGUCACUGUCCAUGUGGGAAAGUGUGUGAGACAUGAAUCCCUUUGGUACCUGCACCUUAGAUUUGCCUCCUUGUGCAGUGGACUGCUUCCUGAUUCCAUUUCAGGGUUGGUCACCCAGCCAACAGUACAGCUGGCAUGUAGGGGGCUUUUGGAUUGGGUCCAUCUCUAUGCUAUUGGCUUCUGAUAAUGUAAUCUGCACCAAGACCCUCUGAGGUGGGUGUGGCUCCCCUACUUAUGCAUAAAUGUGGGGGUAGUUGCAGUUGUUUUUGGUGAGCUCAGAAUGACACUGAGUAAGUGACCUCUAAAAACAUCUCUUGUUAGCAGACAUUGUUGCCCUGUUUGUCCUGGGGGUGAUAUUCUCACCUGUGAAGGCUCUUGCUUGUGGUCCUUAAGGAUGGGAGCGUCUGAACUAUUAUUACCCCCAUUUUAAGAUAAAGAAACUGAGUCUCAGGAGAGCCCAGUGACCUCCCAAAGUGUCACAGUCGGUGCAUGGAGGGCAGGAAGCCUCUCCCUGGUCCUUCUUUCUUCUCUCUCAAGCCCCUGUUGCUAAUCACUGCACAGAAGGUCAGGUAUGGGGAUACACCAGAGGCAAUGGCGGUGGCUUGCAGGUCUUUGGUCAGAAGAAAAGCUUGUGUGCUGUGUGAUCAUCAUAGACAAAUCAGCGUUUCAGAAGGAAGAGGAAAUGUGCACACGGGGGAAGCCCUCUUAUCUAGCACACUGGAGAAGGCGAUCUGCCAUUUAUAUUUAAUCUGCAAGUACAGAAUCAUCAAAUAAAACAGACAUAAAUUAAUGUUAUUUUUUAUCUAAAGCAUUCAAAUGGGAACUUUUCUUUGUGAAUGAACUGCAGAUAGGCAUGUAGUGUUGUCAUUUAUUCUUUUUAUUUUAAAUGCAACACACCUUUGUCUAGUUUUUCCAAAGCAUUCGAUUUAGCUCUUAUAGAAACAAGAAUUCUUUCUUUUUUGAAUUUGUAGUUGAUCAGUUUAUUUAAUAUUUGAUUAAAUUAUGUAGUUUCAAUAAUGAGCACAAUAGGUAUAAACAGAUUUGAGAACAGACACAAGGCACUCUUGGAAAAAGCAUGAUGCACAGAAGAGAGGGCUUCCUACCCAGUCCUGCACCAGCUGUCAGUCUUCAGAGCAUCUGGGACAUCCACCAACAGACUCUGUAGAGAGGAUGGGUCAUGUUGGUUAUUCUGGCAAGUAGGUUAAGUGAGACUCAAUUAAAAGAGCCCCUGCUGAUGGAAAUACAUAUGCAGUACAUAUUUGUAUGUGCAAACACUUGAAGUCAAAUAAAUACUUGUACGGAAAUAA